UAGUGAUACACCAUGUGUUCCUCGGGUUUUGAGAAGCUGGAAGAUCAGGAAAAAAUAUCAAAUCAGUAUAAAUUACAAUAACUCAAUAUUAUUUCUGUAAAUCCAACUAAAAUAAAUGAAGUAAUAAUAAAAAGAUAGCCAAAACAAUAAAUUGGAAAGGUUAAAGUUAAGAAAUGGGGUUAGAAGCCUAUUAACUACACGAGUAUCAUUAAGGCUGUGGGUAACAUGUUCACCACCAGUUAAGAAUACUUCAAUUCCUUAAAAAAGGGUUAAUAUUAACCCUUUCAGGGUCCGUCCCAUAGAUCUACAGCUUUACGGUGAGUGUCCAAACCGUAGAUCUACGCCAUGAGCUCAGCUCACUCUGAUUAAACUGUGAGUGGUACAUUUGGGCCUAGAUAUGAGAGAAUACAUCUAUAUGGAAUGUGUGCACCACAUAAAACAGAUCCUGCAGCACGCUGUGUAUAAUGAGAGAAAAAAACUGAAAUCAUGAUUUUUCGAUUAAAACAGCAACUUUGCAGUGUUUUUUCGUAUGUUUUUUAUAGUUGUAUUUGCGAUUUCUUGGUCUCAUUUGAUAGAAUGGAAGACAUAUUACAGAAAUAGAGAUCAUUUUGAUUGGUUUUAGCACUGGAAAUGGCUUGAAACUGAGCUCAAACUAGCGGAAAUGUUAAAUUUUUGCCGAUAUUCAAGAGUAAACAAACGACCUCACACGUCUAAUACACGUCAGCUGGUGGGUCUAAUAUACAUUCACAAAUAUGGUGAUGAUAUUUAUACAAUUAUUACAGUAUUGCAUAACAGUAAAUCUUCUAUUUUUUGGUGUGAAUAAAAAUUCAUUAUGUGAAUAAAAAAUCAAAUGGAAUUUAUUUGUAAAGCCUCAAAACAUAACUAAUGAACAGAGGAAAUGUUAGUUUAGUGCCAGGAAUGCCUACAUUGUUUAUUCUGGACCCUAUUUUGAAAUUGGAAUAUUUUGAACUUUGUGUUAAAUUGGCCAAAUUAACAAUUUCCGAUCACUUUAUUUUGUAGUUGAAACAGUUGACUUGGCGAUUUCUUGUGCUCAGUCGAUAGAAUAGAAGUAAUACUAGUGAAAUAGCUAAUAAUUUGGUUGAUUGGAAUAAUGUAAUUGGCCUAAAAUGGGAGUCAAAGUCAGCAAAAUCGCCGAUUCGUAAAUAUCGCUGACACGUCAAAAUUCGCGAGAGCAUAAUUUCGUCAAUUUUCCACCAAAUUUCGUACUUUUUGUUUUAUUACCUUCACAAAAAUAUUCUCUACGAUUUCAUAAGAAAAAAUAACAAAUUUUUUUUUUGAAAAUUCUUGGACACUGGUGCGUGACUCCAGAUUUGGGCCUUGGACCCUGAAAGGGUUAAAGUAAUCUUUUAGUGUAAUGCAUACACACCAAGAGUCAUACAUCUCUUGUUGUAUAUGCUACAAAAUGAAAAGCCAAAUCAGUCAUGGACUUUUAUUUUUAACCCUUAAACUGUCCAAAUGUAGAUCUACGUUUGCACGUGUAGCGCUCCAAACGUAGAUCAACGUUUUAUUUUUCAUUCCUUCAAAUUUGGCACAAUAGGCUUGAGUCGCCUAGACAUGAAAGAGAGGGUCUGUGCACUCAGUGUGUGCACUAUUAAAAAAAUCUGGGAGCACUUAGUACCUUGUGGGAGCACCAGUUCAAAUGAGCGCCAGCUAGAGCAAAUAGUGCGGCAAACACCAGGGAUUCACUGAUGCCAUGUCGCAUUAACACUCCCAUUUUAAGAGGAAAGUAAAAACAGGUUAGAUAAAUACAUGAGUGAGUGUGGGUGGGUGUGAGUUGGACUUGACCAGCUUGUGCUACUAGGUCUGAUGUCAUGCUCCUUCCUUCACUGGAUGUGACCUGACUAGGUGGGUCAUGGGUCUAAGCCAGGGGGGGAAGGGUGACAUGUACCUGCCUUGCAUGGGCCAGUAGGCCUGUUGCAGUGUUCCUUCUUUCUUAUGUUCUUAUGUAUUCGGCAGGCUGGCCGGUUGGCUGUCUUGCUUUGGCUAUCUCUGGCUGUUUCUCUGUCUAUAUCUCUAUCUGUCUAUAUAUGUGCCUAUCUAUAUCUCUGCCUAUCUAUAUCUCUGUCUAUGUCUCUGUCUAUCUAUAUCUCUGUCUCACAUAUACACAUAAGUACAGUUACAUAGUGUAAAUUACCUAGGAUAACCCAAAAUUUCCAGGCAAAGAUAGACAGAUACAUGUUUGUGUGUAUCAGUGAAAACAAAUAAAGCCAGGGUUCCCCGAGCACCCAUUUAUCAAAUGCCACCGAGCUGAUAACAGAUGCCAUAACACAAUUCUUCAAGGAGUGCGAUAUACAUAUACUACAGGCAGACAGAAAGACAGAUAAGCAGAGAUAGGCAGACAGACAGAUAGAUAAAUAGACAGAGAGACAAGACAUGUUUGUGUGUAACAGUGAUAACAAAUACAGUGAGGGUUAGCUGGAGCAGUGGGCAUUUAUCAAAUGUCACUGGGCUGUCAACAGUAUAGGGAUGCCUUUCAUAACACCAUGCUUCAAGAGCGCGCGGAAAAUUGCCUGACUGCACCCAAAACACACACACACCCGGGUUGGCGAAGGUGGUUGGGAGGUACUUCUUAAUUGAUAGAUUUACCCUUCAAGGAAGAGGGGUUGCAACACCAGGGUAGACAACUUGUGAGGCUGAGGUACCCACCUCAGAGCUAGGUGUCAACACAGCUUGCCAGGGUAGACAACACAGCUUGCCAGGGUAGACAACUCACAUGGAGGCAGUCCAGACAAAUUUUCUCACAAGUGAUUCAAGAUGAGUGUGGUGUUGGUGUUGGGUUCCGGUGGUAGCUGCUGCCCUGGCUGCCUCUCCUGCAGUGUCAUCUGUCCUCAAUGCCCCGGGUAAUGCUGGCACUUAAACCACUCCCAAUGUCACCAACAUUUCCCUCAACAUCAAGGAUCACCAAGUAUUUGGACCAACGAAAGCAGCAGCCCAGGUUGAAGCCAGCAAAGCCUGGGCUGAAGAUUUUAUGGUGCAUCAAGGAGUGCCAACAGCCAGCUAUUCAACAUUCACUGAUCCUCAGCAAGCUAAAGACUUUAUAAAGAAGUGAGAACUGUGAACCUUUACAUGGAAACAGUCAAAUGCAUAUAGUAUACUGCUGCAUACUGAAGAUACCAUGAUAGCGGUAAGACAUUAAUUUCUCAGUAGUAGUAACCAGUUACCAGUAACCAGUGUACCGUUGACUCAACGACCAACCGUCUCUGCCUGAGUCACUAUCUGAACUCAUAUUGCGCUGACCUGGCAUUAUUCAAAGACCCCCUCACAUAUGGGUACUGUGGGCGGCCAGUCAGUCAGUGUUAAGAGAGCAGAGAGAUAGGUACGGCUGUAAGGGCGCACUCCACAUUAUCUGUAAUUAUACGUACUACCAGCCUACGUGAGUAUUUCUUUACCUAAUCCACGUGUCGAACUCCCACAUGAUAAAUUUG